rnacentral:rRNA from 1 species
UACGGGGGGGGCAAGCGUUGUUCGGAAUUACUGGGCGUAAAGGGCUCGUAGGCGGCCAACUAAGUCAGACGUGAAAUCCCUCGGCUUAACCGGGGAACUGCGUCUGAUACUGGAUGGCUUGAGUUCGGGAGAGGGAUGUGGAAUUCCAGGUGUAGCGGUGAAAUGCGCAGAUAUCAGGAGGAACACCGGUGGCGAAGGCGGGUCUCUGGGCCGAUACUGACGCUGAGGAGCGAAAGCGUGGGGAGCGAACAGG